CUUCGCUUGAUUAUGCAGAAUGGUGGGGUGCACUCCCAAAAACUUUGUAAUUAUUCUUCCCUCCAGUUUCCUAUUUUAAAUAUAUUGAGUGAAGACAUAAUUCUAAAAUAGUGCAGAAAAGUUGUUUGGUAAAUUUUGAAACAAAUUCUAAAAUAAACUAGAUGGAAUCUGAGGAAUGUUAGCAAAAGAAUCAUGUUAUUUGGAGUUGUGGUUUAAAAACUAGAGCUAGUCAAAAUUGGGUCAAAAUAUGAUUUUAAAUAAAACAUAUCUUCUAUUCUUAAAUAGCUAGAACCCAUUACCCAAUUAUCCUCUCCAUGCAACAAUACCACGUCAUCAAAUCAUGCAUGUAGUCAUAAGUUACUCUUUUCAUUAAUCUCUUCAUGCAAAACAUACACUCAUGCAUGAUUAUUUUUCUAGGUAAUAAAGCAAGACAUUUUUAUAAUGUUUUUACAUUAACGUUUGUUUUCUAACAUUUAUUCAUAUAUUUUAAAUAAGUUUUCCGCAUCAACGCGCGGGACAUCAUCUAUUAAUUGAAAAUGGUUCGAUCAAGGAUACACUUUCUAACAAAGAGAACAUACUAACGCAGAAUACAUAUCCACUUACAUCGACAUGGUGCAUCCUGGGUCGGUGACAGUGGGUCCCACAGACCACCAGUCAUGUUUGACUAGUCCACGCACGCGCCUUGUCCCUCUUGGCAGAACAGGGCAGGGCUCCGGUGAUCCCUGACAUUGAACAACGGUUCCCCACGGGACCCUGGGCCCAUGAAUGGAUCCAUGGGAGCCUGGUGGUCACCAUGGCUGGUGAAGUGGAUGAAGUGGUCGGAGGUGCCUUCUCCGACAGACGGCGGCAUUGGGUAAAAAGGGGCUUUUGUCCUUGGUCAGGUUUAAGUGGAAUUGACAAAUGGAAUGGGGUUGUAGUGGCUCGGGGAGAUGGUUAGCAGCAAAACGAGGUGGGGCGACAUUGGACGCUUCGGAUUUUAUAGAAGAGUAGCAGCGCAGGUGGUCACUAGAGAUGAGGAAGAUAACCACCCGUGGCUCGAUACGCUGCAUUAGAGGGUGUCUAGAGGGAGAAGGAGCGGUCCAUGUGGCUAGGGAGUACUCGGGGUGGCCUUUUUAGAGGACGAAGACAUCGGUUCCACAGUUUCCCAAACGUGGAUGCCAUGGCGAUCGCCAUUGAUGUCGAUUCGAGGUGCUUGGGGAGGUCGAUGGUGGCUGGUGUGUGGACGGUGGAUUAUGUGAGGCCGGUGGCUGACCGAAUUUAAUCCAGGGUAGUCUGGUUGUCUAGGGGCGAAUGGGCGGCGCCGGCCACGGCAAUUUAGGCGGUGGCCAGUGAUGGACAGGUGCGGUGCUCGCGAAGCCGAUGGUGGUCGGGUGGACGGUGACUUCCCUUAGUGAUGGCAGGGCAGGCUGGCUGGCUCGGGGAAAGCUACAUGUCCAGGGCGGCUCCGUCCACGGGCAGAUUCCGGCGGUGGCUCUAAUGGCAAGUUGUAGACGUGGCAGGUCAGUGCGAUGGACGAUGGGGGGGAGGUUGGGGUACUCUAGCAUGACGUGGUGACCCGAGCAGGCCAGGGCGAGCGGCGGAAAUGCAAUCAGUG
rnacentral:lncRNA from 1 species